GACGAACGCUGGCGGCGCGCCUAACACAUGCAAGUCGAACGGAGUCAAGAGGAGCUUGCUUUUCUUGACUUAGUGGCGAACGGGUGAGUAACGCGUGAGUAACCUGCCCUGGAGUGGGGGACAACAGUUGGAAACGACUGCUAAUACCGCAUAAGCCCACGGAUCCGCAUGGAUCUGCGGGAAAAGGAUUUAUUCGCUUCAGGAUGGACUCGCGUCCAAUUAGCUAGUUGGUGAGGUAACGUCCCACCAAGGCGACGAUUGGUAGCCGGACUGAGAGGUUGAACGGCCACAUUGGGACUGAGACACGGCCCAGACUCCUACGGGAGGCAGCAGUGGGGGAUAUUGCACAAUGGGGGAAACCCUGAUGCAGCGACGCCGCGUGGAGGAAGAAGGUUUUCGGAUUGUAAACUCCUGUCGUUAGGGACGAUAAUGACGGUACCUAACAAGAAAGCACCGGCUAACUACGUG
rnacentral:rRNA from 1 species